rnacentral:rRNA from 1 species
AACGAACGCUGGCGGCGUGGAUAAGACAUGCAAGUCGAGCGAUCAUUAGUGGGUAGCAAUAUUCGCUAGCGGGAGCGGCGCAAGGGUGCGUAACACGUGGGUAAUCUGCCGUGAAGUUUGGGAUAAUCCCGCGAAAGCGGGACUAAUACCGGAUGUGACUGCUGGGAGGCAUCUUCUGGUGGUUAAAGUUGGGGACCGCGAGGCCUGACGCUUCACGAUGAGCCCGCGGCCUAUCAGCUAGUUGGUGAGGUAACGGCUCACCAAGGCUAAGACGGGUAGCUGGUCUGAGAGGACGACCAGCCACACUGGAACUGAGACACGGUCCAGACACCUACGGGUGGCAGCAGUCGAGAAUUUUUCACAAUGGGGGAAACCCUGAUGGAGCGACGCCGCGUGGGGGAUGAAUGGCUUCGGCCCGUAAACCCCUGUCAUUCGCGAUCAACCGUGAUUAUUUAAAAGAUGGUCACCUGAUAGUAGCGGAAGAGGAAGGGACGGCUAACUCUGUGCCAGCAGCCGCGGUAAUACAGAGGUCCCGAGCGUUGUUCGGAUUCACUGGGCGUAAAGGGUGCGUAGGUGGUGGCGUAAGUCGGAUGUGAAAUCUCGGAGCUCAACUCCGAAACGGCAUUGGAAACUGCGCUGCUAGAGGGUUGGAGGGGGGACUGGAAUGCUUGGUGUAGCAGUGAAAUGCGUAGAUAUCAAGCGGAACACCAGUGGCGAAGGCGAGUCCCUGGACAACACCUGACACUGAGGCACGAAAGCUAGGGGGAGCAAACGGGAUUACAUACCCUGGUAGUCCUAGCCGUAAACGGUGCACGUUUGCUGU